UGGGGAAUAUUGGACAAUGGGCGCAAGCCUGAUCCAGCCAUGCCGCGUGUGUGAAGAAGGCCUUUUGGUUGUAAAGCACUGUAAGCGAGGAGGAGGCUACUUGGAUUAAUAUUCUAAGAUAGUGGACGUUACUCGCAGAAUAAGCACCGGCUAACUCUGUGCCAGCAGCCGCGGUAAUAAAGAGGGUGCGAGCGUUAAUCGGAUUUACUGGGCGUAAAGCGUGCGUAGGCGGCUUCUUAAGUCGGAUGUGAAAUCCCUGAGCUUAACUUAGGAAUUGCAUUCGAUACUGGGAAGCUAGAGUAUGGGAGAGGAUGGAAGACUUCCAUGUGUAGCGGUGAAAUGCGUAGAGAUCUGGAGGACUACCGAUAGCGAAGGCAGCCAUCUGGCCUAAUACUGACGCUGAGGUACGAAAGCAUGGGGAGCAAACAGG
rnacentral:rRNA from 1 species